CAGAGGUUUGCCCCUACCAGCCGGUUCACGCACACCAGGUACUGCUGUCAUGGUGACAUUCUCACGUCUCAGUGACAUGAUUGACAGGCUCAAGAAGUCCCACAGAAUGAUGGACACACAGUCCUCCUGUAACUAUGAGUUAAAGCCUGUGGAGUUCUACAAUGUGAACACAGUCAACCUGAACGCUGUCCCUGUGGAUGAAUCAAACUCACCUAUAGCCACUGAUCAGACCAGUUCACCUGAAACGACUCCUCACACUCCAGCUGUAAAUCAACCAGAGGUCCUCAUCACAACAUCAUCACAUGAUGCUCCUCACACUGAAUCAGAAUCAACCGCUCAAGUGAUAAACCCUGUUCUCAGUGAUCCAUCUGACGACAUAUUGACAGCAGAGUCCAGUGACAUCAUCUUUACAUCAUCGGUGAGACAACAAGAGGUCAUAAACUCCAAUGAACCAGAACUGUCAACUAAAUCCACUUUCCUUCCAUCACAUGAUGCUUCUCUCAAUGAACCAAGUAUUUCUUCUUCAGUAGCAAAUACUGUUGCCAGUGAUCUAUCUGAUGUUCUAUUACAGGGAAUCUCAUGCAAACUGACAAAGUGUGAUAAAAACAAAAGGAGAAAAAUGAAGAGAAGACUGAUCAUCUCAGAGAAAACUCAACAAAGACAAGAGAGUAAAAAAAGGAAAGAAAGGGAAAAGUAUGCUUCAAAUAAAGCAUUUAAAACAGAAAAAAAAUCUCAUGCAAAAAGCAAAUAUCAGAACAACCCUGAAUUUAGACAAAAGAAAAUCAAUAAUACAAGAGACAACGUUGACUUUCAACAAAAACGGAAAGAGUACAUUUCAAACAGGUACAGAGAAAAUGCUGAUUUUAGACAGAAAAAAAAACAAAUCUUUGUCUCUCGUUACAGAAAUAAUCCUGAUUUUAGAGAGAAGAAAAAACAGCACUUUACGAACCGCUACCGAGACAAUGCUGAGUUUAGAAAGGGAAAAAAACUGUCCUUCACUGCUUUUUAUAAAAACAACAUUGAUUUUAGACAAAAGAAGAGAGAAAAAGAGAGAUCUCACAUUAUUCAGCGAUACGCUCAUGACCAGGCAUUCAGGCUGAGACACAAACAACUAAUGAAACAACGAAUGAAAGACAGAUACAAAAACAAUCCUACAUAUAAGAGUAUGCGGAACAUGAGAUGUGCCAUGAAAAUAAAAAGGAAAUACAGACAGAUAAAUAAACCGAUAGAAGAAAGUGACAACAGUUUGAUCAAAGAGGCCAUAUCUGUUUUCAGGUCACAAAUAAAGUCCGGUCCCACUUAUGUUUGCACCGUCUGUCACAAAGCAUCAUUUCCAAACCAAGUGAAACCCUGUAAAAGGUUAAACUAUGUACGAAAUCCAGACGUGGCUGCAGCAUGCCUGACAGGAAAGUACGUCCAUGUGUGUGAUGAUGAGUGCAGAGAUGAACAACAGUGUAAUGUGCCUGAUGAGAGAAAGGAAGAGUGGAUCUGUCACACCUGCCACAAUCAUCUUAAAGAUGGAGUCAUGCCGACACUCGCUGUAGCCAACAACUUGGAGCUCGCUGACAUUCCACCUGAACUGUGUGACCUCAACAUAUUGGAGCGACAUCUCAUAGCCAAGUGCAUAGCGUUUGCAAAGAUUAUUCCUCUUCCCAAAGGACGCCAGAGAGCGAUACAUGGCAACGUGGUUUGUGUCCCGUCUGAGGUGCAGGAAACAGUGGAAGCGUUACCCAGACUGAGAAGUGAGUCUCAAGUGAUGAGAGUAAAGCUGAAGAGACGAUUGUGUUACAGAGGACAUCAGCUGUUCCAGACUGUCACCUGGUCUAAACUAGUGCAGGCGCUGCAUAUACUCAAACGCAUUCAUCCAC
ensembl:lncRNA